AUUGAACGCUGGCGGCAUGCCUUACACAUGCAAGUCGAACGGCAGCACGGGAGCAAUCCUGGUGGCGAGUGGCGAACGGGUGAGUAAUAUAUCGGAACGUGCCCAGUCGUGGGGGAUAACGCAGCGAAAGCUGUGCUAAUACCGCAUACGAUCUACGGAUGAAAGCGGGGGAUCGAAAGACCUCGCGCGAUUGGAGCGGCCGAUAUCAGAUUAUCUAGUUGGUGAGGUAAAUGUUCACCAAGGAGACGAUCUGUAGCUGGUCUGAGAGGACGACCAGCCACACUGGAACUGAGACACGGUCCAGACUCCUACGAGAGGCAGCAGGGGGGAAUUUUGGACAAUGGGCGAAAGCCUGAUCCAGCAAUGCCGCGUGCAGGAUGAAGGCCUUCGGGUUGUAAACUGCUUUUGUACGGAACGAAACGGUGAGCUCUAAUACAGUUUGCUAAUGACGGUACCGUAAGAAUAAGCACCGGCUAACUACGUGCCAGCCGCCGCCGUAACAC
rnacentral:rRNA from 1 species